UACGUAGGCAGCAAGCGUUGUUCGGAAUUACUGGGCGUAAAGAGUGUGUAGGCGGUGUUCUAAGUUUGUCGUGAAAUCUCCCGGCUUAACUGGGAGGGUGCGGCGAAAACUGGAAUGCUAGAGGAUGGGAGAGGUAAGCGGAAUUCCUGGUGUAGCGGUGAAAUGCGUAGAUAUCGUUUGGAACGCCAAUGGUGAAAACAACUUGCUGGGGGUGUGCUGACGCUGAGACACGAAAGCCAGGGGAGCAAACGGG
rnacentral:rRNA from 1 species